AUUGAACGCUGGCGGCAUGCCUUACACAUGCAAGUCGAACGGCAGCACGGGGGCAACCCUGGUGGCGAGUGGCGAACGGGUGAGUAAUACAUCGGAACGUGCCCUGUAGUGGGGGAUAGCUCGGCGAAAGCCGGAUUAAUACCGCAUACGACCUACGGGUGAAAGCGGGGGAUCGCAAGACCUCGCGCUACAGGAGCGGCCGAUGUCAGAUUAGGUUGUUGGUGGGGUAAAGGCCUACCAAGCCGACGAUCUGUAGCUGGUCUGAGAGGACGACCAGCCACACUGGGACUGAGACACGGCCCAGACUCCUACGGGAGGCAGCAGUGGGGAAUUUUGGACAAUGGGCGCAAGCCUGAUCCAGCCAUGCCGCGUGCGGGAAGAAGGCC
rnacentral:rRNA from 1 species